CCUCUAGGACUGGGACAACAGAAGGAAACUUCUGCUAAUCCCGGAUGAGCCGGAAGGUGAAAGAUUUAUCGCCUAGAGAUGAGCUCGCGUCUGAUUAGCUAGUUGGUAAGGUAAAAGCUUACCAAGGCAACGAUCAGUAGCUGGUCUGAGAGGAUGAUCAGCCACACUGGGACUGAGACACGGCCCAGACUCCUACGGGAGGCAGCAGUGGGGAAUUUUCCGCAAUGGGCGCAAGCCUGACGGAGCAAGACCGCGUGGGGGAGGAAGGCUCUUGGGUUGUAAACCCCUUUUCUCAGGGAAGAACCAAAUGACGGUACCUGAGGAAUCAGCCUCGGCUAACUCCGUGCCAGCAGCCGCGGUAAUACGGAGGAGGCAAGCGUUAUCCGGAAUGAUUGGGCGUAAAGCGUUCGUAGGUGGCUAUUCAAGUCUGCUGUCAAAGACAGAAGCUCAACUUCUGAAAGGCAGUGGAAACUGAGUAGCUGGAGUGCGGUAGGGGCAGAGGGAAUUCCCGGUGUAGCGGUGAAAUGCGUAGAGAUCGGGAAGAACACCGGUGGCGAAAGCGCUCUGCUGGGCCGCAACUGACACUGAGGGACGAAAGCUAGGGGAGCAAAUGGGAUUAGAUA
rnacentral:rRNA from 1 species